AGUCCAUGAUGAGAAAACCUUUUCAACAAAUCUUUAAAUCUCUCCCAUGUAUCAUAAAGAGUCUCAAUAUCAAAUUGAACAAAAGAAGAGAUGUCAUUGACU
rfam:Gossypium hirsutum cultivar TM-1 chromosome 13, whole genome shotgun sequence